UUAAUACCCGGUGAGGCUGAGAGUACCUGAAGAAUAAGCACCGGCUAACUACGUGCCAGCAGCCGCGGUAAUACGUAGGGUGCAAGCGUUAAUCGGAAUUACUGGGCGUAAAGCGUGCGCAGGCGGACUUUUAAGCCAGAUGUGAAAGCCCCCGAGCUUAACUUGGGAAUUGCGUUUGGAACUGGGAGUCUAGAGUCUGUCAGAGGGGGAUGGAAUUCCACGUGUAGCAGUGAAAUGCGUAGAGAUGUGGAGGAACACCGAUGGCGAAGGCAGUCCCCUGGGAUAAGACUGACGCUCAUGCACGAAAGCGUGGGGAGCAAACAGGAUUAGAUACCCUGGUAGUCCACGCCCUAAACGAUGUUCUACUAGUUGUUGGGGUAGCAAUACCUCAGUGACGCAGCUAACGCGUGAAGUAAGACCGCCUGGGGAGUACGGUCGCAAGAUUAAAACUCAAAGGAAUUGACGGGGG
rnacentral:rRNA from 1 species